rnacentral:rRNA from 1 species
GAUGAACGCUGGCGGCGUGCUUAACACAUGCAAGUCGAACGGACAGGCCCUGCUCUUGCGGGGCGCUCGUGAGGCGAACGGGUGAGUAACACGUGAGUAACCUGCCCUUGAAUUUGGGAUAAAUUCAGGAAACUGGGGCUAAUACAGGAUAGGAUCUCCUGCUGCAUGGUGGGGGUUGGAAAGUUGCGGCGGUUUGGGCUGGACUCGCGGCUUAUCAGCUUGUUGGUGGGGUAGUGGCUUACCAAGGUUUGGACGGGUAGCCGGCCUGAGAGGGUGACCGGCCACAGUGGGACUGGGAUACGACCCAUACGCCUACGGGAGGCAGCAGUGGGGAAUAUAGCACGAUGGGCGGAAGCAGGAUGCAGCAACGCCGCGUGCGAGAUGACGGCCUUCGGGUUGUAAACCGCUUUCGCCUGUGUCGAAGCGUGAGUGACGGUAAUGGGUAGAGAAGCACCGGCAAACUACGU